rnacentral:rRNA from 1 species
GUGGGAGGCAGCGGCCGAGGGUGGGCCUGGCGACUGGGACGAAGUCGUAACAAGGUAGCCGUACCGGAAGGUGCGGCUGGAUCACCUCCUUU